rnacentral:lncRNA from 1 species
UUGUUAUAGAACUUGUUGUCUCUUCUGGCUGCAAAAUUGCAUUUGUUCAUCCUCGUGUAACAAGGGUGGCUGUCUAGCCAAAGUUAAUUCCCUGAGCCAAUGGCAGUUCACUUCCAUAGUUGAUGGUACUGCCAAGGACAUGCACAGAAGAAGAUGAAGAAGAUGAAGAAGAAGAUAUAUUCACCAUUAACAGAGCUUGUAACCAAGGAAUGCAAUAUCAUAAAUUCAACUAGAACUUACCAUGUAGAACGACGCAUGUAUUGCUUCCAUGAGUCACUUCCUGCUUCACGACCACCACCAGUUGCCUUUUCCCCACCAAAGGCACCACCAAUCUCAGCUCCAUUUGUAGGUAUAUUUGCAUUCACUAUACCACAAUCACUACCUCGUG